UACGUAGGGUGCAAGCGUCAUCCGGAAUCACUGGGCGUAAAGCGUGCGUAGGUGGGAAUUUAAGUGUGAUGUUAAAUCGUGUGGCUCAACCAUAUCGAUGCAUCGCAUACUGGGUUCCUAGAGGACGGCAGAGGCAAGUGGAAUUAGCAGUGUAGCAGUGAAAUGCGUAGAUAUUGCUAGGAACACCAAUGGCGAAGGCAGCUUGCUGGGCCACUCCUGACACUGAGGUACGAAAGCGUGGGGAGCGAACAGG
rnacentral:rRNA from 1 species